ACUCUCUCUGCAGACAGUGAGCAUGCACCCUUCCCCAGGACACACCUCAGCCAGACCUCCUCCUGGUCUGCAUAGGGAUUUCGGUGGAGGGUGGGCCUGGGGAGCACCAGGGAAAGGGAGGGACAGCCAAGCUAAGCCCUGAGUGCCAGGUUCAUGGAGAGCUGAAUGAGUAUGGGGCAGAUCCUCGAGUUUUCUUUUCAGCAGUGCCUAAUGAGUUGGAGGAAUGGGAAAGUCGUUCCCAGCCAAGCCGAUAUCCUAUGAGUUAUAAAUGACAUUUCAUCCUCAUAUGCAGAUUUCCUGCACCGAAGUGAAUUAUUUACAAGGUAGAGCUUGUGGGUUCCAACAAUCAGCAGCCUGAGAUUUACACCCACACUCCAGUUUCAGCUCUCCUGCUGCGGGAAUGUGAAGUUUCCCACUGCCCUGUAAGAUCUGAAGAUUUAACAGGAACAGGCACUCCCUUCUCUGGAAGCAGAAACCAGAACAGUAAAUGAAGCCAUUCCAAGACUGGCUUCUUCCCCUCUCCGAAGAGGAUGCUAUCUGCAUGGAAACGCAAAUGAGACUGCACAAAAUUAAAAGACAAGUGACAGACCGUGGAGGGGAAGCGUUGACAUCUAAGUAUUACUAUCUCAUAUUCAAGUAAAUCCAGCAGAUCAAAGAGAAAUGACCAGUCCCUCAAAGGGACAAGGAGUACAUGCAGGCGGGAAUUAGUACGAGCAGUAAAUGUCUACGAGAAGAUGCUCAAACACAUUUCUGAUUAAGGGAUGUGGAAGUGACAAUAAAAUACCCUUUUCUGAAGUCA
rnacentral:lncRNA from 12 species